CAGAGCCCUAUCUUCUAGAGAUAUGUACUAAAAUAUUUAUGAAUGGAAUGACGUGAUGUCUCGGAUUUGCUUCCAAGUUGGUGAAAGUUGAAGCUGGGUGAUGGAUCAUUGGUACCUUUUAGGUGACCUGACCGCAGAAGUGCUAACUCCUGUUUAUUCAGGAAAGACUUCCGACUGGGGAAGACUUCCAGGUGUGAAUCAUGAGAGAGCGGAGAGGCCUGUGAUUUACGUUUUGGAGGGCAUGCCUGAGUGUGAUUAAGGGAUUUAAGUGCAGGACUCUAAGAUUUACUUCCUUCCUGUUCCAGCAGGGUUACCUGAAGGAGUGCAGCAUUUCUGGUUCCUUCGAGAGGGUGAGGAGAGCCUGCAGGCAUGCUGUGCACCUCUGCAAUUGCUAGUCCCAGGGUCACAGCAAGUGGAAGUGCAGAGCACCACAAACUGCUUUGAGCAGAGCCCACUUCCUUCAUCCCGGAGAGCAUGGAGCCGUUACACCAACAUCAAUCAAGGGGGACCCAGGCGCUGCACUCACACAGUUGAAGCAGGGGAGCAAAUCGAAGACUCACCCAGGAGCAGAGUGCUUUUGAGACAGAGGAAGAAGACAAAACAGCUCCCAGCUCAGCUUCUCUUGCCAUAUUCAGGAAUCACCACACGUGCUGUUAUAUUGGGCCUCAUUUUGUUUCCCUUUCCCCAACACCUGUGUGCUGUGCUUGUGGUGAGUCUUCAUAGCCAAGUACAAUUUUUCCAGUUCAACUCCACUGAUCACUAUCAACAAGAAAGUGUAAGAGCUCAGAAGUCAUCUUGGAGGCCCCAGGCGAAGACCAGUCCUGCAACCUUGGAAGGCAGCUAUGGUCACCACUAUACCACCAACGCCACACCAGUCAUGCAACCUUGGGAUGUGCAGGGUUUGGGCAGCCAAGGCUUGCUGCACUAACCCUUUGCUGCAUGUGUUUCAACAGUGCCAUUUACUUGAUGAAUGUCUCUUUUCCGGCAGAUGACAUGAGAACAGUGCUUGUAACUGUUUCUGCUCAGCAUGAUAUUCAGAACCCUUAACAUGGUUACUGACAUACAGGAGGUGUCUGUAUUUGUUGAAUAAAUGAAUAAAGGAGUAAUGUCUACUUUCUGUUGUCAUUAUUUCCUUUCAUAAUAUACCAUAUUCCAUGUCUUUUUGCCCAUCCCCAUCUCUUUCAUGCAUUGUUUCUUAAUUAUGGAUCUUGAUAUGUGACUUAUCCCUAAAGUUAUUUUGUGCUACUGAAUAACAUGUUGUAAGUACAUAAAAUAUUAUAUUAUAUUCCUCUACCUUUCAAUUACAUUCUUAUACUGCCAGGUAUUAUAUUAUCCCAAUAUAAAUACUUUUUAAGUGGCAAAUGUUUUUUGGUU
rnacentral:lncRNA from 1 species